GGGCCCGUAGCUCAGUGGUAGAGCAUCUGACUUUUAAUCAGAGGGUCGGUGGAUCGUACCCACCCGGGCUCACCA
rnacentral:tRNA from 1 species